UGGGGAAUUUUGCGCAAUGGGCGAAAGCCUGACGCAGCAACGCCGCGUGAGUGAUGAAGGCCUUCGGGUCGUAAAGCUCUGUCAGAGGGGAAGAACCGCCAGGUGGCUAAUACCUGCCUGGUCUGACGGUACCCUCAAAGGAAGCACCGGCUAACUCCGUGCCAGCAGCCGCGGUAAUACGGAGGGUGCAAGCGUUGUUCGGAAUUAUUGGGCGUAAAGCGCGUGUAGGCGGUUUGUUAAGUCUGGUGUGAAAGCCCUGGGCUCAACCUGGGAAGUGCAUUGGAUACUGGCAAACUUGAGUACGGGAGAGGAUAGUGGAAUUUCUAGUGUAGGGGUGAAAUCCGUAGAUAUUCGAAGGAACACCGGUGGCGAAGGCGGCUAUCUGGACCGAUACUGACGCUGAGACGCGAAAGCGUGGGGAGCAAACAGG
rnacentral:rRNA from 1 species